rnacentral:rRNA from 1 species
GUUAAGAAGAGAGAAUGCCGGAAUGAGUAGCGAGAUGGAGGUGGGAAUCCUCCAGGCCGAAUAUCUAAGGUUUCCAGAGUAAAGCUGAUCUGCUCUGGGUAAGUCGGGGCCUAAGGCGAGGUCGAAAGACGUAGUCGAUGGACAACAGGUUGAAAUUCCUGUACCGCGUAUUAUCAGAACUGUGGGGACACAGAACCGAAGCCAAACCCGGGAAUGAAAAGACCGGGGCAAGCGCCGGACUGGUUAGACUGGAAAAUCCGUCUAGCAACAGGAAAGCGUGACGCGUACCGAACAAAAGUAGGGAAGUUGGUAUAGGGGCUGUCAAGAAAAGCCGCUAUUGUGUAAUACGUGCCCGUACCGUAAACCGACACAGGUGGAUGAGGAGAGAAUCCUAAGGCCGGCGGGAGAAGCAUUGUUAAGGAACUCGGCAAAAUGGCUCCGUAACUUCGGGAUAAGGAGCGCCCACGAGAGUGGGCCGCAGAGAAUAGGCUCAAGCAACUGUUUAGCAAAAACACAGGUCUAUGCAAAACCGAAAGGUGAGGUAUAUGGGCUGACGCCUGCCCGGUGCUGGAAGGUUAAGAGGAGAGGUUAGAGCAAUCGAAGCUUUGAAUUUAAGCCCCAGUAAACGGCGGCCGUAACUAUAACGGUCCUAAGGUAGCGAAAUUCCUUGUCGGGUAAGUUCCGACCCGCACGAAAGGCGUAAUGAUUUGAGCGCUGUCUCGACAAUGCACCCGGUGAAAUUGAAGUACCAGUGAAGAUGCUGGUUACCUGCGCCAGGACGGAAAGACCCCAUGGAGCUUUACUCCAGCUUGAUACUGGGAUUCGGUGUCGCAUGUACAGGAUAGGUGGGAGGCAGUGAAGGUAGGACGCCAGUCUUACCGGAGCCAUUGUUGGGAUACCACCCUUGCGAUAUUGGGUUUCUAACCUGCGGCCAUGACCUGGCCGGGGGACAAUGUCAGGUGGGGAGUUUGACUGGGGCGGUCGCCUCCGAAAGUGUAUCGGAGGCGCUCAAAGGUUCCCUCAGAAUGGUUGGAAACCAUUCGAAGAGUGCAAAGGCAUAAGGGAGCUUGACUGCGAGACUGACGGGUCGAGCAGGUACGAAAGUAGGACUUAGUGAUCCGGUGGUAUAAAGUGGGAUUGCCAUCGCUCAACGGAUAAAAGCUACCCUGGGGAUAACAGGCUUAUCACUCCCAAGAGUUCACAUCGACGGAGUGGUUUGGCACCUCGAUGUCGGCUCAUCGCAUCCUGGGGCUGAAGUAGGUCCCAAGGGUUGGGCUGUUCGCCCAUUAAAGCGGUACGCGAGCUGGGUUCAGAACGUCGUGAGACAGUUCGGUCCCUAUCCGGCGUGGGCGUAGGAUAUUUGAGAGGAGCUGUCCUUAGUACGAGAGGACCGGGAUGGACUGACCUCUGGUGUACCGGUUGGGUAUCAAACCCAUGGCCGGGUAGCCAAGUCGGGAAGGGAUAAACGCUGAAGGCAUCUAAGCGUGAAGCCCCCCUCAAGAUGAGAUAUCCCAUCGCAAGAGUAAGACCCCUUGAAGACGACGAGGUAGAUAGGGCAGAGGUGGAAGCAUGGCAACAUGUGCAGCUGACUGUCACUAAUAGGUCGAGGGCUUAACCAA